CAGUCGAGCGGCAGCACGGGUACUUGUACCUGGUGGCGAGCGGCGGACGGGUGAGUAAUGCCUAGGAAUCUGCCUGGUAGUGGGGGAUAACGCUCGGAAACGGACGCUAAUACCGCAUACGUCCUACGGGAGAAAGCAGGGGACCUUCGGGCCUUGCGCUAUCAGAUGAGCCUAGGUCGGAUUAGCUAGUUGGUGAGGUAAUGGCUCACCAAGGCGACGAUCCGUAACUGGUCUGAGAGGAUGAUCAGUCACACUGGAACUGAGACACGGUCCAGACUCCUACGGGAGGCAGCAGUGGGGAAUAUUGGACAAUGGGCGAAAGCCUGAUCCAGCCAUGCCGCGUGUGUGAAGAAGGUCUUCGGAUUGUAAAGCACUUUAAGUUGGGAGGAAGGGCAGUUACCUAAUACGUGAUUGUUUUGACGUUACCGACAGAAUAAGCACCGGCUAACUCUGUGCCAGCAGCCGCGGUAAUAC
rnacentral:rRNA from 1 species